UACGAAGGGGGCUAGCGUUGCUCGGAAUCACUGGGCGUAAAGGGUGCGUAGGCGGGUCUUUAAGUCAGGGGUGAAAUCCUGGAGCUCAACUCCAGAACUGCCUUUGAUACUGAAGAUCUUGAGUUCGGGAGAGGUGAGUGGAACUGCGAGUGUAGAGGUGAAAUUCGUAGAUAUUCGCAAGAACACCAGUGGCGAAGGCGGCUCACUGGCCCGAUACUGACGCUGAGGCACGAAAGCGUGGGCAGCAAACAGG
rnacentral:rRNA from 1 species